rnacentral:misc_RNA from 1 species
UCGAGUUUUUGGCGGGGUUGUAGCUGGCCUUCCGAGGCAUUGUGCACGCCCUGUUCAAUCCGCUCUUACCCCUGUGCACUUAUUGUGGGCUUCGGAUGGCAAAGCCGGCUUAGGCAGGCGGAGCGUCCGUGCCUGCGUUUACCACAAAACCUGUAAAGUAAUCGAAUGUGUAUUGCGGUGUAACGCAUCUAUAUA